AUUGAACGCUGGCGGCAGGCUUAACACAUGCAAGUCGAGCGGGGAAAGGUAGCUUGCUACCUGACCUAGCGGCGGACGGGUGAGUAAUGCUUAGGAAUCUGCCUAUUAGUGGGGGACAACAUUCCGAAAGGAAUGCUAAUACCGCAUACGCCCUACGGGGGAAAGCAGGGGAUCUUCGGACCUUGCGCUAAUAGAUGAGCCUAAGUCAGAUUAGCUAGUUGGUGGGGUAAAGGCCUACCAAGGCGACGAUCUGUAGCGGGUCUGAGAGGAUGAUCCGCCACACUGGGACUGAGACACGGCCCAGACUCCUACGGGAGGUAGCAGUGGGGAAUAUUGGACAAUGGGCGAAAGCCUGAUCCAGCCAUGCCGCGUGUGUGAAGAAGGCCUUUUGGUUGUAAAGCACUUUAAGCGAGGAGGAGGCUACUUGGAUUAAUACUCUAGGAUAGUGGACGUUACUCGCAGAAUAAGCACCGGCUAACUCUGUGUCAGCAGCCGCAGUAACAC
rnacentral:rRNA from 1 species